rnacentral:rRNA from 1 species
CCUACGGGAGGCAGCAGUGGGGAAUAUUGCUCAAUGGGCGAAAGUCUGACGCAGCGACGCCGCGUGAGGGAUGAAGGUCUUCUGAUCUUAAACCUCUGUCUGCAGGGAAGAACGGUCACUUUGCUAAUCCGCAGUGAAUUGACGGUACCUGCAAAGGAAGCACCGGCUAAUUCCGUGCCAGCAGCAGCGGUAAUAGGGAGGGUGCGUGCGUUAAUUGGAAUUACUUGGCGUAAAGCGCGCGUAGGCGGUAUGUCAAGGCAAGGGUGAAGUCCCAGGGCUCAACGGGGGAACUGCCUUUGAAACUGGCAAACUGGAGUGUGGUAGAGGAUAGUGGAAUUCCAGGGGUAGGAGUGAAAGCCGUAGAUAUCUGGAGGAACAUCAGUUGCGAAGGCGACUAUCUGGCACAUAACUGACGCUGAGGAGCGAAAGCGUGGGUAGCAAACAGGAUUAGAUACCCUAGUAGUC